UAUUGAUACAUUUUGGUUCAUAUUCGCUGAAAUAAACAUUUUUGAAAACAAAAUGUUUUACCCCCGAAGAAAAAGGUAACACAUUAUACCCCGAACUCCCCAUAACGGCCACCUCUAGCUACUACGACUACUUUACUGCACGACUGUUUUCUUUUUUUUUUUUGUACUCUUCCUCGCAUUGCCCAGCCACUUAGCACGACUAGCCAUGCUAAUCUCGUACCUCGAGUCUUCGUUCCUUACUGCAUUUCCUAUUUCUGAGUGGCUGUGCCCUCUCUAUGGUGUCUGGCUGCAAAUGUUAAAUAUGGAAUCUUUUUUGUUGUUGUUUUUUCAUAUGUGAUUCUAAACAGCACAAAAUAAAAGUUGCUGCUGUCGUGAUGGGGAUUUGAGGUAGGAGUACCAAAGUUUUUAAAAGUUUCGUUCCGUUUUUGGCGGGUACAGAGCAGUAUACCUCUGGAGAAACCCAGACAUUGCGAAGAAAAUGUUUGGGAAAAUUUUCCAAGCCGUUUGAUUAAUUCAAGGAACAAUUUCACGACAACGGUUUGUUAUUCGUCGUUGAUCCCGUUCUGUUUAUACUUUAUAUCGGCCAUGAGAAUAGCCCCCAGGUCCCCCGGAGGCUCUAGCACCUUCGCACACCUGCCUGAACAACGUAAGGAGUCAGAGAAAUGGCUAUGCAGAGUGUCUGCUUUUCGACUUCAAAUAACCCGAGUUGGCGAAGAAAUUGUCAUUGGUAUCAACGCUAAAGAGCUUGCAUUGGGGACCGAAAACUGUAGAAACAUUUGGUGAACUGAUGCAGAGCUCUUUGAAUUUCAAGUGCGUGCCACAAUAAUGGUGAAGCAUUGCAGACCAAUUUAUAAUCAUUUCCUUGACAUAAUUUUACAACUUCCAUGGCAAAGUCAAAGGAGAGGAUCCAUGUAAGGCAGGAAGCUCGUGGUAUAACGUGUUGUGAGUGGUUACAAUUUAAGGAAAAUUUCUGCCGUAAGAAAGAUGCCUUGAAAGUCAAGAAAUGAUGUAGAUCAAUGCAGCCAAAUAAGUAUACAAUCCCAGAGAAUCAAGGUGGAACCUAUUGAGCUAAGGGUGGUGAGACAAACGAAUGACAGAGAAUUACAAGAUUUAAAGCUUAUGAUGUUUUUACAAGAAUGGUGAUAUCAGGUACAAAACAGAGAAGAACCAAUAAAAGAUGUGCUGAGGCUCAAGAGGAAAAAAGAAUCAAAUUGUGACAUUGGAUCCUUAUUGGGCUGCCGUCUCAAGUGUACAUGCAGUGACAUUAACAUGGAGAAAGAAGCAAAGGAAAGCUAAGGACUUCGUUUAGAUGUUUCUUCAGUGGAUCGCGUUUUAAAAGUAAGGUAGAUUUACAAGACAAAGUUCAUCUCGAUUGCGUUUCUUGCGAAACAUUGUUAGGGCGGAGCUCGUAUUAGCGAUUUCACAACACAAUACUCAAGAGUGAAAAGAAGACAUUGGAAUUACUGUCAAAUUGUCUAGUAUAUGCCAGAUUGCCUCGUAUCUUGCUAGUUUCUGAGGAAACCGUGAAUUGUAUUUCAAGUUUGCAUCUUUAAAAUUAAGGUAGAAUACAAGCUUUACCUGUAAUAGCUUUUGCAACCCGAAUUUUCAACCUGGAAGUCUCGCUAUUAAACUCGUUAAAAUUACUGUCUAAUUGUCUAGUGUGAAUUUCACAUUUUUACUGAAAACUUUGUAGUUUUCGAUGACACACUCAAUUGAUGAAAAGGGUGCGCUUUUAAAGGGCCAAGAAAAAUAUCGUAAAGAAACUAAGUCCUCUAGUGGAAAUAAUGUCCUUAGAAAAAAAAGGUCUGCAAUUUCAAACGGUGUCUAGUUUUGAGUCGAACUUAUGCAAAGUCUUUUGGCGUAAAAAAUCUUGCACUAUCAGUACGUAAGAUUUUUCCCAUCAAAAGUCAAAGUAUAUGCUUGAUUUCUGGCUUGACUCUGUUCAAAAGCGCAGAAUUUUUUUUUUUUUGGCAACCCUACAUAGUAAAAAAAUAGU